rnacentral:tRNA from 1 species
GCGCUCUUGGUAUAGGGGUUAGAAUAUAGGGUUUCCAACCCUACGACCCGGGUUCAAAUCCCGGAGGGCGCA